rnacentral:rRNA from 1 species
GUCGAGAAUAAUUCACAAUGGGGGCAACCCUGAUGGAGCGACGCCGCGUGGAGGAUAAGGUCUUCGGAUUGUAAACUCCUGUCAUGCGUGAACAAGGUUGCUUGGUUAAUACCUGGGCAAAUUGAUGGUAACGCAAGAGGAAGAGACGGCUAACUCUGUGCCAGCAGCCGCGGUAAUACAGAGGUCUCAAGCGUUGUUCGGAAUCACUGGGCGUAAAGGGUGCGUAGGUGGCGUGGUAAGUCAGAUGUGAAAGCCCGGGGCUCAACCUCGGAACUGCAUCCGAUACUGCCAUGCUAGAGUACUGGAGAGGUGACUAGAAUUCUCGGUGUAGCAGUGAAAUGCGUAGAUAUCGAGAGGAAUACCAAAGGCGUAGGCAGGUCACUGGACAGUUACUGACACUGAGGCACGAAGGCCAGGGGAGCGAACGGGAUUAGAUACCCUUGUAGUCC